UACAGAGACCUCAAGCGUUAUCCGGAAUCAUUGGGCGUAAAGCGUACCGAUAGGUGGUUUAGAAAGUUUUGGGUAAAAGCCAGAAGCUCAACUUCUGAGUUUGCUCAAAAUACUUCUCAACUAGAGGGGCAAAGAGGUUCUUGGAACGAACGGUGUAGUAGUGAAAUGCGUUGAUAUCGUUCGGAACACCGAAAGCGAAGGCAGAGGACUGGGUGCCACCUGACACUACUAGGACGAAAGCGUGGGGAGCGAAUGGG
rnacentral:rRNA from 1 species